GUGCAAAAGUAAUUGCGGGUUUUGCCAUUAAAAGUAAUGGCAAAAACUGCAAUUACUUU
ensembl:miRNA